rnacentral:rRNA from 1 species
UGGGGAAUAUUGGACAAUGGGCGAAAGCCUGAUCCAGCCACGCCGCGUGUGUGAAGAAGGUCUUCGGAUUGUAAAGCACUUUAAGUUGGGAGGAAGGGCAUUAACCUAAUACGUUAGUGUUUUGACGUUACCGACAGAAUAAGCACCGGCUAACUCUGUGCCAGCAGCCGCGGUAAUACAGAGGGUGCAAGCGUUAAUCGGAAUUACUGGGCGUAAAGCGCGCGUAGGUGGUUUGUUAAGUUGGAUGUGAAAUCCCCGGGAUCAACCUGGGAACUGCAUUCAAAACUGACUGACUAGAGUAUGGUAGAGGGUGGUGGAAUUUCCUGUGUAGCGGUGAAAUGCGUAGAUAUAGGAAGGAACACCAGUGGCGAAGGCGACCACCUGGACUAAUACUGACACUGAGGUGCGAAAGCGUGGGGAGCAAACA